GUAGGGAAUAUUGGGCAAUGGUCGGAAGACUGACCCAGCCAUGCCGCGUGCAGGAAGACGGCCCUCUGGGUUGUAAACUGCUUUUAUCUGGGAAGAAAAAGGCCAUGCGUGGCAAAUUGCCGGUACCAGAUGAAUAAGCACCGGCUAACUCCGUGCCAGCAGCCGCGGUAAUACGGAGGGUGCGAGCGUUGUCCGGAUUUAUUGGGUUUAAAGGGUGCGUGGGCGGCUGAUUAAGUCAGCGGUGAAAGACUUCGGCUUAACCGGAGCAGUGCCGUUGAUACUGGUUGGCUUGAGUGUCGGAGGGGUACAUGGAAUUGAUGGUGUAGCGGUGAAAUGCAUAGAUACCAUCAGGAACACCGAUAGCGAAGGCAUUGUACUGGCCGACAACUGACGCUGAUGCACGAAAGUGUGGGGAUCGAACAGGAUUAGAAACCCCAGUAGUCC
rnacentral:rRNA from 1 species